UAUAAACUAAUCCCACAUCGAAAUGAGCAAGGGCAACAAAGCGAGUGCAUUGUUGUAUAAAAGAAAACACGGGUUACCUCUCAACUCACUUACCUGGACGGGGUCAAUGGGCGAUCAACAAGGCCCAUGGCCUAGGACAGUGACUUCCAUUGCACCUUGGAGGGUGCUGUCCUAAGGUCUGUCCAAGUGACAGAGCCUACGUCAUAAUUUGUGGUAGUGAGGGCCUGCGUUCGCGCGGCCCUCGUUCCAAUUCAGUACGAAAGGUUUUCACACUUUGACCGGCAGGUGUUUGAUAAAAUGAUUCAAUGAAGUUUGUGAAAGGUUGCACAAGUACUUAUUUGCCUGCAUUGAAGGUCAGCCCAUCUCCUUUUAUAGACCAAUGGAGGGACUGAUUCCUUUUACAAAUGUUAGUAACAAUGGUUUUGGAGUCUAUUGCCAUGCCAUUCUGCCUAGCUGGCCAGCAAUGCAGAUAGUGGAGCUCCUAUGUGCCAUAAUCCUCUGAUUCCCUUGUUUGUAUUGUAGCAGUGCAGCCAAUGGGAUUUCAUUGUGUUGUGGGGCCCUUUAAGUUCGUGCGGCCCUUGUUCCAAAUCAAUAUGAAGUUUUCCAUUUUUUUCCAGUCUAAUUAUAAAGAGAAAUGCUAUUGGUUGUUAUUGGUUGUUACAAAUGGUAAAAAAGCAAUUUAAGUUUUGAAUUUAAAUUAGAACUAAUAACAAUUUUUCACUUAUGAUUUGUUGUGAAAAUGUUGUGGAGUUAACACCUCUCAUUUAUAAAUGUCUUGUACCUUUCAA